rnacentral:misc_RNA from 1 species
GUUUUCAAUCGGUUUUCGUCCUAGAUGUAACACCUCGUUGGAGCAUGUUUACAAAGAGUCUAAUUAAAAGGAUUGGAGAUCUCGACAAAAGGUCAAUUAGUGCCGGCAAAUCAACCUACGGGAACUUUCAUAUGCAUGGAGAUGUCGAGAUUGUUUCUGGUUUCCCCGUAAGCCAGUUCAAUCUCCAACACUGGAACGAAAAAGGGGUUUUCAUGAAAGGUUUUGUGGACUACAACCCAAUGACAUGUGACUAUCAGUUCAUGGACAAAAAAUCAUACUUUUUUAAUUCCUCCAUUUUUAGUUUCCAUUAAAUAUAUCCCUCUUGUUCAUC